rnacentral:rRNA from 1 species
UACGGAGGAUGCAAGCGUUAUCCGGAAUGAUUGGGCGUAAAGCGUCCGCAGGUGGCAAUGUAAGUCUGCUGUUAAAGAGUCUAGCUCAACUAGAUAAAAGCAGUGGAAACUACAUAGCUAGAGUACGUUCGGGGCAGAGGGAAUUCCUGGUGUAGCGGUGAAAUGCGUAGAUAUCUGGAGGAACACCGGUGGCGAAGGCGGCGUCCUGGACCAACACUGACACUGAUGAGCGAAAGCCAGGGGAGCAAACGGG